UUGAGACUUCGGUGGAUUUGAUCUAUUUCUAGUGGCGGACGGGUGAGUAACGCGUGGGUAACCUGCCUUAUACAGGGGGAUAACAGUCAGAAAUGGCUGCUAAUACCGCAUAAGCGCACAGAGCUGCAUGGCUCAGUGUGAAAAACUCCGGUGGUAUAAGAUGGACCCGCGUUGGAUUAGCUUGUUGGUGGGGUAACGGCCCACCAAGGCGACGAUCCAUAGCCGGCCUGAGAGGGUGAACGGCCACAUUGGGACUGAGACACGGCCCAGACUCCUACGGGAGGCAGCAGUGGGGAAUAUUGCACAAUGGGGGAAACCCUGAUGCAGCGACGCCGCGUGAAGGAAGAAGUAUCUCGGUAUGUAAACUUCUAUCAGCAGGGAAGAUAGUGACGGUACCUGACUAAGAAGCCCCGGCUAACUACGUGCCAGCAGCCGCGGUAAUACGUAGGGGGCAAGCGUUAUCCGGAUUUACUGGGUGUAAAGGGAGCGUAGACGGUGUGGCAAGUCUGAUGUGAAAGGCAUGGGCUCAACCUGUGGACUGCAUUGGAAACUGUCAUGCUUGAGUGCCGGAGGGGUAAGCGGAAUUCCUAGUGUAGCGGUGAAAUGCGUAGAUAUUAGGAGGAACACCAGUAGCGAAGGCGG
rnacentral:rRNA from 1 species